rnacentral:rRNA from 1 species
AAUACGACUCUCGGCAACGGAUAUCUCGGCUCUCGCAUCGAUGAAGAACGUAGCGAAAUGCGAUACUUGGUGUGAAUUGCAGAAUCCCGUGAACCAUCGAGUCUUUGAACGCAAGUUGCGCCCAACGCCCCCUUUGGGUGGUCGAGGGCACAUCUGCUUGGGCGUUAA